rnacentral:rRNA from 1 species
CCUACGGGAGGCUGCAGUGGGGAAUAUUGGACAAUGGGGGCAACCCUGAUCCAGCCAUGCCGCGUGUGUGAAGAAGGCCCUCGGGUUGUAAAGCACUUUCAGAGAGAAAGAACGUCUGGGGGAAAAUACAUAUCGAGAAACACAUCUCUCAGAGAAGACGCACCGUCUAACUCCGUGCCAGCAGCCGCGGUAAUACGGAGGGUGCGAGCGUUAAUCGGAAUUACUGGGCGUAAAGCGCGCGUAGGUGGCUUGAUAAGCCGGUUGUGAAAGCCCCGGGCUCAACCUGGGAACGGCAUCCGGAACUGUCAAGCUAGAGUGCAGGAGAGGAAGGUAGAAUUCCCGGUGUAGCGGUGAAAUGCGUAGAGAUCGGGAGGAAUACCAGUGGCGAAGGCGGCCUUCUGGACUGACACUGACACUGAGGUGCGAAAGCGUGGGUAGCAAACAGGAUUAGAUACCCCUGUAGUC